AUUUUUAUUACUCUCAUUCUAUUUUUUAAAAUUUAUUUUUAUAGAGAUAUGGUCUUGCUGUGUUGCCCAGGCUGGUCUCAAACUCCUGGCCUUAAGUGAUCUUCCUGCCUUGGCCUCCCGAAGUACUGAGAUUAUAAGCAUGAGCCACCUUUAUCUGUAGAUAAAGCAGAAGGUCACUGAGAUUAGUACAUUUCUCAUAGUCGUAAUGUAGAUGGCAGAGCCUGGAGAUGAACUCAGGUGCUUUGAGUUCUAAAUCUCUUUCCAUUUUCCUUCCUUUUAAAGCCUCGCAUGCGAAUUGAAUUCCAGAACCUUCCACAAUUAGUGUAUCAUUGCUGUUCCUUAUGUACAUUCCUUUCCUGUUAAAUUUUGCUAAUAAAAUCAGAUGCACACUCAUUAACCCUGGAACCAUUUUUACCUCUGAGGACUAACUUUUUUUUCUAAUGAUACAUCCAUCGGUCAUGGUUGGACUGAGGCUCUCCUAAAAGAGGAAGGGCUUAUAAGGAAUGGAAGAUCAUUUCCUCAUUCACACCUACAUCAACUGACUCCAGAGAGGAAAACCGGCCAUUGGUUGAAGUACCCCUGGACAAACCAGGCUCUUCUCAGGGUCGAUCUCUCAUGGUGAAUCCAGAAAUGUACAAGCUCCUCAACGGAGAGCUGAAGCAGCUGUACACCGCCAUCACACGGGCUCGGGUCAACCUCUGGAUCUUUGAUGAAAACCGAGAGAAACGGGCUCCCGCAUUCAAAUAUUUCAUUAGAAGAGAUUUUGUCCAAGUUGUAAAGACAGAUGAAAAUAAAGACUUUGAUGAUAGCAUGUUCGUUAAGACCUC
rnacentral:sRNA from 1 species